rnacentral:rRNA from 1 species
AUUGAACGCUGGCGGCAGGCCUAACACAUGCAAGUCGAACGGUAGCACAGAGAGCUUGCUCUCGGGUGACGAGUGGCGGACGGGUGAGUAAUGUCUGGGAAACUGCCCGAUGGAGGGGGAUAACUACUGGAAACGGUAGCUAAUACCGCAUAACGUCGCAAGACCAAAGUGGGGGACCUUCGGGCCUCACACCAUCGGAUGUGCCCAGAUGGGAUUAGCUAGUAGGUGGGGUAAUGGCUCACCUAGGCGACGAUCCCUAGCUGGUCUGAGAGGAUGACCAGCCACACUGGAACUGAGACACGGUCCAGACUCCUACGGGGGGCAGCAGUGGGGAAUAUUGCACAAUGGGCGCAAGCCUGAUGCAGCCAUGCCGCGUGUAUGAAGAAGGCCUUCGGGUUGUAAAGUACUUUCAGCGGGGAGGAAGGCGGUGAAGUUAAUAACUUCACCGAUUGACGUUACCCGCAGAAGAAGCACCGGCUAACUCCGUGCCAGCCGCCGCGGUAA